rnacentral:antisense_RNA from 1 species
GGGCUGGAUCCCCCGCCUACCGUUUCCCCGCAGCCGCCGGCGCUUCUGGCGCUUGUGACCUGAGCAGGAAGCCCAGAGAGAAACCAGAAAGACAGGAAGGGGAUUCCUGGACUUCCUUUCCACAUCCGGCAGGAACGCGACCCUCCCUCCUCCAGCUAGGAGCGCUUGGCCGGGCGCACCAAGAUGCCUGCAGCUUCAAGAAGAUGUAUGGGAACAGACACAGAAACUUUCCCUACCAGAUAAGCAGGACAAAGAAACACAGACUAAGAGUUGGCCUGUGUGGUCACGGAGUGGGUUAAGAGAUGAUAAAAAAAAUCUGCUCUGUACAGAUAGCACACCUGGUCCCAACUAAACCCUGGGGCCCUAGAAAGAUAAGACACCCCCUCCUCACAAGCCCCUCCUCAAGAGCCCCCUCCUCAAGAGCCCAUUUAUAAAAACUCUGACAUUCUUACUACAACUUGGCAAUCUUCUCAGGAUCCCUCUCUAACAGAGACCUGUUCUUUCCUUUUGCCUAUUAAACUCCUGCUCCAAACUCA